rnacentral:rRNA from 1 species
GAUGAACGCUGGUGGCGUGCCUAAUACAUGCAAGUCGAGCGAACAGACGAGGAGCUUGCUCCUCUGACGUUAGCGGCGGACGGGUGAGUAACACGUGGAUAACCUACCUAUAAGACUGGGAUAACUUCGGGAAACCGGAGCUAAUACCGGAUAAUAUAUUGAACCGCAUGGUUCAAUAGUGAAAGACGGUUUUGCUGUCACUUAUAGAUGGAUCCGCGCCGCAUUAGCUAGUUGGUAAGGUAACGGCUUACCAAGGCAACGAUGCGUAGCCGACCUGAGAGGGUGAUCGGCCACACUGGAACUGAGACACGGUCCAGACUCCUACGGGAGGCAGCAGUAGGGAAUCUUCCGCAAUGGGCGAAAGCCUGACGGAGCAACGCCGCGUGAGUGAUGAAGGUCUUCGGAUCGUAAAACUCUGUUAUUAGGGAAGAACAAAUGUGUAAGUAACUAUGCACGUCUUGACGGUACCUAAUCAGAAAGCCACGGCUAACUACGUG